AGAGUUUUAUACAACGGCCCCUGGUUAUUUCAGCAGCGAACGAAAAAGAGUUAACUACUUUUUAACUGCAGUUAGCGCUAACUACGUUUUUAUACAACCGGCCCCAGGUCUUUUAGCUGUUCUUAUUUAAGUCGCGUCUUAAAUAAGAAAUUUUGGACAAAAAUUCUAACUACACAUGCCAGAAACUUGAAACAACGUAAAAUUUAAAGCCUUGCAUAUUAAAACAAAAACAACCGAAACAACAUUAUAGCUAUAGCAAAUAAAUAAGACCAAAGCCGUAG